rnacentral:lncRNA from 1 species
GGGGAGGGACGGGGCGGUGUCGGGUCCGGGCAGCGGGAGGCUCGGUCUCUUGGUUCCUUCUUUGGAGCUGCUGGCGGGGCCGCGGCGGGCGGGCGGGUCGGGUCUCGGCUGCUUCACCGGGUUAUUUUAUAAAAGAGGAAGAAAAAAAAAUAAAAGUCUCCGGCGGGGAGACGCGGAAUUUUGUAAAUUUUUUUGGGUUUUUUUAAAAGAUUUUUUUAGAUUUUUUUUGGAUUUUUUAAUAAUAAAUGUGUGUUCCGAGCCCGGAGCACACACUCCGCACUCUCAGCACUAACCGCCGGGGAGAAGGGGAAGCACCGCCUCCUGCACCCUCUACUUAUACUCCCCGCCGCACUCGCCCCGCCCCCGCGCGUCUGACGCCAGGGCCCUACGCGAGCGUCAGCGCCGAAAGAGGAGGAGACGCGGAGGCCAGGGGGAGGAGGGAAGAGAAAACAGCAGGAAAGAGCAGAGAGGAAGGGAGAGGUGGCGGCGGCGGAGGCUGCGUUGUGGGGGUGGGGCUGGGGCGAAGGGGCGGGGCUUCUGCGCAGGCGCCGCGGCCGGGGAAGCGGAGCUCGCGCUGCGUCGCGUCCGUGGGGGAGGGGAGGGCGGCACGCGGGCGGUCCUCGGGGGUGUCGGCUGAGGCGGUCCCGCCUUCCGCCCCGCCCUCCCCCGCCUCCACCAGGAGGAGCGUUAACCCGUCACCGCGGCGGUGGGCGGUGCAAGGGGCUUCCGGGUUCCUACGCCCUAACCACCCCCCACGUGCGCGGCCGCUUGGGGCCUCUUUCCGCCGCGGCCGGCCCGGCUCCUCUCGCCCCAGCUCCGAGGGACGCUGGGCACGGUCCUAGCCUCUGAAGAGGAAAAUUGAGACGCUGAAAGCCAUUCCCGUCUAAGAACUCAGAGGUGUCAGUCGUUUGCCUGCCAAUGCUCUCAUGUGAACUCAGAGGAUGGAACCGCGCAUUCGUGAAGUAUUCAGUAAGCAAACAAAAUGAAGACUUCUUGUGAGGGACAAAAUCAUUGGUUUGGUCAUCCUUAGUGAGAUGCAUUUUAAGAGAA